UUCCAGACUCCUACGGGAGGCAGCAGUGGGGAAUAUUGCACAAUGGGGGAAACCCUGAUGCAGCGACGCCGCGUGAGCGAUGAAGUAUUUCGGUAUGUAAAGCUCUAUCAGCAGGGAAGAAGAUGACGGUACCUGACUAAGAAGCCCCGGCUAACUACGUGCCAGCAGCCGCGGUAAUACGUAGGGGGCAAGCGUUAUCCGGAUUUACUGGGUGUAAAGGGAGCGUAGACGGCGAUGCAAGCCAGAUGUGAAAGCCCGGGGCUCAACCCCGGGACUGCAUUUGGAACUGUGUGGCUGGAGUGUCGGAGAGGCAGGCGGAAUUCCUAGUGUAGCGGUGAAAUGCGUAGAUAUUAGGAGGAACACCAGUGGCGAAGGCGGCCUGCUGGACGAUGACUGACGUUGAGGCUCGAAAGCGUGGGGAGCAAACAGGAUUAGAUACCCUUGUA
rnacentral:rRNA from 1 species